GGAGAGGUGUCCGAGUUCGGUCGAAGGAGCUUGACUCGAAAUCAAGUAGGCGGGUAACCGUCUCGUGGGUUCGAAUCCCACCCUCUCCGCCA
rnacentral:tRNA from 1 species